rnacentral:rRNA from 1 species
GACGAACGCUGGCGGCGUGCCUAAUACAUGCAAGUUGAGCGCUGAAGGUUGGUACUUGUACCAACUGGAUGAGCAGCGAACGGGUGAGUAACGCGUGGGGAAUCUGCCUUUGAGCGGGGGACAACAUUUGGAAACGAAUGCUAAUACCGCAUAAAAACUUUAAACACAAGUUUUAAGUUUGAAAGAUGCAAUUGCAUCACUCAAAGAUGAUCCCGCGUUGUAUUAGCUAGUUGGUGAGGUAAAGGCUCACCAAGGCGAUGAUACAUAGCCGACCUGAGAGGGUGAUCGGCCACAUUGGGACUGAGACACGGCCCAAACUCCUACGGGAGGCAGCAGUAGGGAAUCUUCGGCAAUGGACGAAAGUCUGACCGAGCAACGCCGCGUGAGUGAAGAAGGGUUUCGGAUCGUAAAACUCUGUUGGUAGAGAAGAACGUUGGUGAGAGUGGAAAGCUCAUCAAGUGACGGUAACUACCCAGAAAGGGGCGGCUAACUACGUG